ACGAUCCCUAGCUGGUCUGAAAGGAUGACCAGCCACACUGGAACUGAGACACGGUCCAGACUCCUACGGGAGGCACAGUGGGGAAUAUUGCACAAUGGGCGCAAGCCUGAUGCAGCCAUGCCGCGUGUGUGAAGAAGGCCUUCGGGUUGUAAAGCACUUUCAGCGAGGAGGAAGGGUGGUGUGUUAAUAGCGCAUCACAUUGACGUUACUCGCAGAAGAAGCACCGGCUAACUCCGUGCCAGCAGCCGCGGUAAUACAGAGGGUGCAAGCGUUAAUCGGAAUUACUGGGCGUAAAGCGCACGCAGGCGGUUUGUUAAGUCAGAUUGUGAAUCCCCGCGCUUUAACUGGGAACUGCAUUUGAAACUGGCAAGCUAGAGUCUUGUAGAGGGGGGUAGAAUUCCAGGUGUAGCGGUGAAAUGCGUAAGAUCUGGAAGAAUACCGGUGGCGAAGCCGGCCCCCUG
rnacentral:rRNA from 1 species